UAAUGUUGUGUGUAAACCUCGAUUCUUAUAUAAACAAGGGAAAUUUUUCAGGCCAAAGAGAGGUGGUGGUCUCUUCUUAACCAAUGUGUUCUCCCUGUCUUAAAUUUGAUGCUCAGGACAGAAUCAAAAGUUUGAAAUUACCCAUUUAUGAAGCCAUAUGAUCACAGGCUCUAAGAUUUUCAUGACAUCAGCCACUGGCCAUGAGGGAAUGCAGCAAUCACAAGAAUCCAGGGAAAUCUGAGAUGUGAAAGUUGGGGGAACUUUACAGCAAGGUGGUGGUGAUGACUAUCCAAUUUCGGAAAAGUCAACUUACAGGGAUUGACUUUGCCAACUCCAAGAUGCUGGCUACACCCAGCCCCCUGUUCAGUACACUUCAUGCCUAAGCUCGUGUCAUCCUCACAGCCACCCUAAAAGGCAUGUAUUAUCUUCACUCUACAGUUAGAAGAUUGAGAACUGAAAAACUUAAGGUCAAGGCUGGCCAAAGUCAUCUG
rnacentral:lncRNA from 1 species